rnacentral:rRNA from 1 species
UACGUAGGGUGCAAGCGUUAAUCGGAAUACUGGGCGUAAAGCGUGCGCAGGCGGUGAUGUAAGACAGGUGUGAAAUCCCCGGGCUUAACCUGGGAACUGCAUUUGUGACUGCAUCGCUGGAGUGCGGCAGAGGGGGAUGGAAUUCCGCGUGUAGCAGUGAAAUGCGUAGAUAUGCGGAGGAACACCGAUGGCGAAGGCAAUCCCCUGGGCCUGCACUGACGCUCAUGCACGAAAGCGUGGGG